UGCCGCCCUCACUCUGCUUUAAUAUCUCUCCGUUUCUUGCUUUCUUAAAGAAGUUCUCAUCUUGAGUCUAGUAUGUACGUGUGCAUGUGGAAAUGUAUGUAUGCAGGUGGAGGUGUGUGUGUGGAGAUGGAAGUGUGUAUGUCCAGAUGGAAUUGUGCGUGUGCAUGUGGAGGUGUGUGUGUGCAGGUGGAGGUGUGUGUGUGCAUGUGGAGGUGUGUGUGUGCAGGUGGAGGUAUGUGUGUGCAUGUGGAGGUGUGUGUGUGCAUGUGGAAGUGUGCGUGUGCAUGUGAAAGUAUGUGUGUGCAGGUGGAAGUGUGCGUGUGCAGGUGGAGGUGUGUGUGUCCAGGUAGAAUGUGUGUGCAUGUGGAGGUGUAUCUGUGCAUGUGGAGGUGUGUGUGCAGCUGGAAGUUGUGUGCAGGUGGAGGUGCACAUGUGCAUGUGAAGGUGUGUGUGUGCAUAUGGAGGUGUGUGUGUGCAUGUGGAGGUGUGCGUGUGCAGGUGAAGGUGUGCGUGUGCAGGUGAAGGUGUGCGUGUGCAGGUGGAGGUGUGCGUGUGCAUGUGGAGGGGUGCGUGUGCAUGUGGAGGUGUGUGUGUGCAGGUGGAGGUGUGCGUGUGCAUGUGGAUGUGUGUGUGUGCUCAGGUGGAAGUGUGCGUGUGCAUGUGGAGGUGUGUGUGCAGGUGGAGGUGUGUGUGUGCAGGUGGAAGUGUGCAUGCAUGUGGAAGUGUGCGUGUGCAUAUGGAUGUGUGUGCAUGUGAAGGUUGUGUGCAUGUGGAGGUGUGCGUGCGCAUGUGGAGGUGUGCGUGUUCAUGUGAAGGUGUGUGUGUGCAUGUGAAGGUAUGUGUGUGCAGGUGGAGGUGUGUGUCCCUACGGAGGUGUGCAUCUGCAUGUGAAGGUGUGCGUGUGCAUGUGAAGGUGUGUGUGUGCAUGUGGAGGUGUAUCUGUGCAUGUGGAGGUGUGCGUGUGCAGCUGGAGGUGUGUGUGCAGGUGGAAGUGUGCAUGUGCAUGUGAAGGUAUGCAUGUGCAGGUGGAGGUGUGUGCAUGUGGAGGUGUGUGUGUGCAUGUGGAGGUGUGUGUGGCAGGGAGGGGAGUGUAUUAAUCUCCUAGGGCUGCUAUGACAAAGUACCAC
rnacentral:lncRNA from 1 species